GACGAACGCUGGCGGCGUGCUUAACACAUGCAAGUGGAGCGACGAACCAGGGCUUGCCCCGGGGCAAAGCCGCGAACGGGUGAGUAACACGUGGGUGAUCUGCCCUGCACUUCGGGAUAAGCCUGGGAAACUGGGUCUAAUACCGGAUAUGACCUCCUAUCGCAUGGUGGGUGGUGGAAAGAUUUAUCGGUGCAGGAUGGGCCCGCGGCCUAUCAGCUUGUUGGUGGGGUAAUGGCCUACCAAGGCGACGACGGGUAGCCGACCUGAGAGGGUGACCGGCCACACUGGGACUGAGACACGGCCCAGACUCCUACGGGAGGCAGCAGUGGGGAAUAUUGCACAAUGGGCGAAAGCCUGAUGCAGCGACGCCGCGUGAGGGAUGACGGCCUUCGGGUUGUAAACCUCUUUCAGCAGGGACGAAGCGCAAGUGACGGUACCUGCAGAAGAAGCACCGGCUAACUACGUGCCAGCCGCCGCCGUAACAC
rnacentral:rRNA from 1 species